UGGGGAAUCUUGCACAAUGGGGGAAGCCCUGAUGCAGCGACGCCGCGUGAACGAUGAAGCCCUUCGGGGUGUAAAGUUCUUUCGACAGGAACGAUAAUGACGGUACCUGGAGAAGAAGCUGCGGCUAACUACGUGCCAGCAGCCGCGGUAAUACGUAGGCAGCGAGCGUUGUUCGGAGUUACUGGGCGUAAAGAGUGCGUAGGCGGUUUUCUAAGUUCGGUGUGAAAUCUCCCGGCUUAACUGGGAGGGUGCGCCGAAGACUGGGAAGCUGGAGUGUGGGAAAGGCAGGCGGAAUUCCUGGUGUAGCGGUGAAAUGCGUAGAUAUCAGGAGGAACACCGGCGGUGUAGACGGCUUGCUAGACCAUAACUGACGCUGAGGCACGAAAGCGUGGGUAGCAAACA
rnacentral:rRNA from 1 species